rnacentral:misc_RNA from 1 species
UCCGUGUUAUCCACGGCAGUCCCCCUAGAGUGCCCAACUUAAUGAUGGCUACUAAGGGUAAGGGUUGCGCUCGUUGCGGGACUUAACCCAACAUCUCACGACACGAGCUGACGACAACCAUGCACCACCUGUCACCAAUGCCCCGAAGGGAAAGCAUAUCUCUACGCCUGUCAUCAGGAUGUCAAGCCUUGGUAAGGUUCUUCGCGUUGCUUCGAAUUAAACCACAUGCUCCACCGCUUGUGCGGGCCCCCGUCAAUUCCUUUGAGUUUCAACCUUGCGGUCGUACUCCCCAGGUGGAGUGCUUAUUGCGUUAGCUGCGGCACCGGGGAUUCCUCCCCGACACCUAGCACUCAUCGUUUACGGCGUGGACUAC